UACGAAGGGGGGCUAGCGUUGUUCGGAUUUACUGGGCGUAAAGCGCACGUAGGCGGUUUGUUAAGUCAGGGGUGAAAUCCCAGAGCUCAACUCUGGAACUGCCUUUGAUACUGGCAAGCUAGAGUCCGGAAGAGGUAAGUGGAACUCCUAGUGUAGAGGUGGAAUUCGUAGAUAUUAGGAAGAACACCAGUGGCGAAGGCGGCUCACUGGUCCGGAACUGACGCUGAGGUGCGAAAGCGUGGGGAGCAAACAGG
rnacentral:rRNA from 1 species